rnacentral:rRNA from 1 species
CGUGUAGGCGGUUUUUUAAGUCUGAUGUGAAAGCCCUGGGCUCAACCUGGGAAGUGCAUUGGAAACUGGGAGACUUGAAUACGGGAGAGGGUAGUGGAAUUCCUGGUGUAGGAGUGAAAUCCGUAGAUAUCAGGAGGAACACCGGUGGCGAAGGCGGCUACCUGGACCGAUAUUGACGCUGAGACGCGAAAGCGUGGGGAGCAAACAGGAUUAGAUACCCUGGUAGUCCACGCCGUAAACGAUGAGUACUAGGUGUCGCGGGUAUUGACCCCUGCGGUGCCGCAGCUAACGCAUUAAGUACUCCGCCUGGGAAGUACGGCCGCAAGGCUAAA